rnacentral:misc_RNA from 1 species
UUCAUUAAAUUUCAGUACAAAAGAUAGAUGCAUAUAUAUAUCAUUCUCUUCUUCAAGAAGAAGAACAAAAUUCAUCAUAAAAUGAAACAACUUGAAAAUCAACAUGAUCUUGCAUGAAAAUAAGGAGAAAAAAAAAACAAUAAUACCCAUUAAUUUACACCAAAUCUCAUAUAUAUAAUGGUAUAUAUACGGCUGGUGCACCACUUUAUGUACACGUUAAUUCGAACCAGUUAUCCUCUACAUCAAGAGCUCAUUCACCCAUACAAGAUCAGGAUCAGGACCUCCAUUCUUAACAUCAUUGUUUAUCUUUUCAUCAAUAAAUCCCUUGCUUGAACAAUCUCCACUGAAAAAAUUUCUUGACCCACCACAAGGGUGUGGGGUUGAAGGUGAAAGAAUCAACUGUUGAUGAUGAUCUUCGCCAUUGAAAGAAGAAUCCAUCCAAGGAAUGCUAUUGGCUGCAGAAAAAGAAAUGGGUGAAGAGGCAGCUGCAGCUUCGUUUUUGAAAUUCAUGGCCUCCAAAGAAGUCAUUAGCUCUGCAAGCACAUCUUUAUAGCUCAUGACUCCAGACCUAAGCUUGCUCAAACGAUUAGUGUAUCGGGAAAUUGGCGAAAACCCACUUAUUGACCUCUUUUUCACCUGCGAAAGAGGCGGUGACAGUGAAGGAGACACUGGCGGCGACAUGUUGGCCAUACCCAGUAAAGUAGAAGUAGGAGAGGAAAUCACAAAAUGACAAGCCAAGCAGCAGCAAUGUCCAUGGUUAAGAGAAGAAGGUAAGGCCAAUCCCUCGUCGUAUUUUCCGGCCUCGCAAGAAACCUCGGGAAUAAUACGAAGCUGGCGAGCAGAGUGAGCGAAGAAGCAAAUCUUUCGCUUGCAGUUCUUGCCAUCUUUGCAAGCUUCAGUUCUGUAGCGAGAAGGGUGAAGCCAGAUCUCAAACACACCAUGAGCGAACUCACAGGUGUCUCCGCGGCUACAACCACCGCGUCUAAACUCAGAACAUACUGUUCCAGAGUAGUGGUACUUCCUGGGGUCUCUCCGGCGGGCCUUUUCACCUGGGUGGGCAAAAGGGCAGUCUGUCCAGUCAUGGCUGUGGGAGCGAGUGCAGCGGCGGAUCUUGAACUCAUACAUGCGGAAACGAUCAGAGGAGUAAGGAUCCAAGUCCUCAUCAUCAACUUUGCCACGAGAAUGAUCAAGGUCACCAUUAAUGGAGUCAGUACAAGGAAGCAAGUUUUGGAGAUUAGACUCGUAAUAAGGGGACUUAAUAUUAUCAGGGGAAUCUAUGAGGUUUUUCUUGGUAAGGAGUUUUCUUGGAGCAGGGAUCUCAAGGUCUUUGAAGGAUUUCUUGGAAAAAGAAGAAGAAAUGAGUUGGUGGGAGGGGUAAAGCUUGUGUUGGUCAGCACAUAUGGAGCUCAUUUUGCAAGGAUAGAACAAGAAAUCAAGAACGAAAUAGCCAGAUAGAACCGGAGAGCGAAUUUCACAUGGAAGUGGACAUGAGAUUAGCGUUGAUGGAGAAGGGAGCAAAGGUGUGGGUCUAAUAUAUGUAUACAUGGAAGAAGAGGUUGGUUAGAGAGAGAAAAGGAUAUGACAAGAAUAGAGGUAAGGUAUGGAAAGGGGGGAUGCGUGGC